GCCAGGCGUGGUGGCACGUGCCUGUAGUCCUAGUUACUUGGGAGGCUGAGGCAGGAGAAUUGCUUGAACCCAGGAGGCAGAGGAUGCAGUGAGCCGAGAUCGCGCCACUGCACUCCAGCCUGGGUGAUAGAGUAAGACUCUGUCUCUA
ensembl:misc_RNA Metazoa_SRP Metazoan signal recognition particle RNA